CACACAUUUGGCGGAAUGGGGACCCAAGCCCUGCUGAACCAGGAUGAGGACCUCCUCCCACACGGGGUGGUGGGCUUCACAGAGAGGAGGCGAGUUGCUCUGGAAGAGUCUCAAGCUGGGAAGUGGGAAAUCGCGUCUGAGCAUCCGUCACGAAGGGAGGGAGCCCUCCAGGAGGUGCUGCAGGUUUACUGAAGUCAACCCAUUACAAGUGCGGACAUGCUUGGAGAUAACAGAAGCCUGCGAGUUCUUAAUAUCCUGCCUGGCAUGCGG